rnacentral:rRNA from 1 species
GACGAACCGUGCGAACGUUGUUCGGAAUCACUGGGCUUAAAGGGCGCGUAGGCGGGUUCGCAAGUCAGGGGUGAAAUCUUUCAGCUUAACUGGAAAACAGCCCCUGAUACUGCGAGUCUCGAGGGAGGUAGGGGCAUGUGGAACUUCCGGUGGAGCGGUGAAAUGCGUAGAUAUCGGAAGGAACGCCGGUGGCGAAAGCGGCGCACUGGACCACAACUGACGCUGAGGCGCGAAAGCUAGGGGAGCAAACAGG